rnacentral:rRNA from 1 species
CCUACGGGUGGCAGCAGUGAGGAAUAUUGGUCAAUGGCCGGAAGGCUGAACCAGCCAAGCCGCGUGAAGGACGAAGGUGCCAAGCAUUGUAAACUUCUUUUGUCAAGGGACAAAAUCAGGCUCGAGAGCCUGACCGAGGGUACUUGAAGAAAAAGCAUCGGCUAACUCCGUGCCAGCAGCCUCGGUAAUACGGAGGAUGCGAGCGUUAUCCGGAUUUAUGGGGUUUAAAGGGUGCGUAGGCGGGCUGUUAAGUCAGCGGUAACAGCCCGGGGCUCAACCCCGGCGAGCCGUUGAAACUGGGUGCCUUGAGUGGGCGAGAAGUAUGCGGAAUGCGUGGUGUAGCGGUGAAAUGCAUAGAUAUCACGCAGAACCCCGAUUGCGAAGGCAGCAUACCGGCGCCCUACUGACGCUGAGGCACGAAAGUGCGGGUAUCGAACAGGAUUAGAUACCCCAGUAGUC